UUACUUUGUCAUUACUUUGGUAGAAAGAAUAUGUUCACAUUUCUGUUUUUCAGGCUGUGUCAAUAAUGGGAAAUGAAGUUUUUCAUUUUAACUUGGAUUUGUACCCAGAUGUGACUGAAGGGGAUUCAUACACUGACAUGUCCAAAGUGGAUGGCGUGGUGUUGCUGAAUGUUGGCUGCAUUCAGAUUGUCUAUCUUCAUAAGUUCCUUGUGUCCCUUUUGCACUUCCUGAACAAUUUCCAGACAGCCAAAGAGGCCCUGAGCGCAGCCACCGCGCAGGCUGCAGAAAAGGCCGCCACCAGUGUGAAAGACCUUGCCCAGCGGAGUUUGCGCUUCUCUGUCAGCAUUAAUUUGAAAGCACUCGUUAUUGUCAUCCCACAGUCUUCUGUUUCCAGCAACGCUGUUGUGGUGGACCUUGGUUUGAUCAGAGUUCAGAACCAGUUCAGUCUUGGGUCUGGGGAAGGGUCUGUAAAUCCUCCUGUGAUCGAUAGAAUGGAUGUGCAGCUCACGGACCUGAAGCUGUCCAGGACAGUGAUCCAACCAGGCACCUCCCAGCCUGAUAUUCAGCUGUUGCACCCAAUUAACUUUGAGUUUUUUGUAAAUCGAAAUCUUGCUGCAAAUUGGUAUCAUAAGAUACCUGUUGUGGAAAUUAAAGGACAUUUUGAUACAAUGAAUGUUUGUCUAAAUCAAGAAGAUCUUAAUGUUUUGUUUAGAAUACUGUCGGAAAAUCUUGGUGAAACUCCUGAAGAGUUAGAUAAAGUGAAACCAAGAGUACCAGAGACAGGUGAAAUCAAAGAUGCCCCUGAAAUUUCUACAUCACAGAGAUUACAAGCUUCAAAAGAUGCUUCAAGAGCUGAAAGAGAAGAAAUUAGAUCUGUAAACAUUGUUAAUGUACUGCUGAAUUUUGAAAUUAAAGAGGUUAUGGUGAUGCUGAUGAAAAAGGCGGAAAAGAGUGGGAGGCCAGUGCACGAGCUCAGUGUCCUGCAGCUUGGAGUGGAAGCUAGAGUUCAAGCUUAUGCCGUGACCGCUGAAGCUUAUCUCCAGCAAGUCAGCAUGCGGUGCCUGGAUUUCACUGACGCAGAAGGAGGCCCUCUGCACAUCGUGCGCUCCUCUCGCGUGACUAAGGAGCCGCUCCUGAAGAUGGCCUUGACCAAGGCAGACAGUGAUGGACCGGAAUUUAAAACUGUUCAUGACAAUACCAAACAGAGACUAAAGGUUUCAUUUUCAUCCUUAGACAUAUUACUUCAUUUAGAAGCUUUACUUUCCCUUAUGGAUUUUUUGUCAUCGGCUGCUCCAUCCUCUGAGUCGUCUUCUAGGAAGGAAUCUGAGCUAAAACCACUUGUAGGGGAGUCCAGAAGUAUUGCCAUCAAAGCUGUAUCUGGCACCAUUUCUAAAGAGGAUAUGUUCGAUUUAAAGGUUACAGCUGAAUUAGAUGCUAUUAAUGUUGUUGUCUGUGAUCAGAAGUGUUCUACAGCUGAUGUUAAAAUACAUGGAAUGGAUGCCUCUGUUUCUGUGAAGCCAAAACAGACUGAUAUGUUUGCCAGACUUCAGAAUAUCAUAGUAACAAAUGUUGAUUUGAAGUCCAUUCACAAAAAGGCUGUCUCCAUCUUGGGAGAGGAAGUCUUCCGGUUCCAGAUGACGUUAGCUUUGGAAAAUUUUGCCUUAUCUGAGCUGUAAGGCAAGACAAACACAGAAGCAGUUGUCCUGAGUCCUGGCUUCUUCACAGCCGUCCAGCUAUGGUCAAGCCCUGAAGGCACCUGGGUACUCAGGGGUCUGAAACAGAGUUCAAGCGAAGAAUUAAUUGAACUGCAUAUUCUACACCCAAAACUAAACGCCUUGGAGAUGACUCCACACAGGAUAUCCAGCCUCAUCCAGAAAAAUUGCACACCUAAAAGGAUCCUUUGGAAACACUUCAUAAAGCUAUCUGCCUUGAAUUUACUGAUCUAAAACAGCCUUGAUUGGCUGGGCGUGAAUUUCUUUUUUAAAAAAAUAAGUGUAUUUCUGGUCCCUCCCGCCAGUACUUUGGGAGGUUGAGGCUGGCUGAGCAAUCUCCGAAUAAUAAAUAAUAAAAUAAGGAGAAGGAGAACAAGGAAGACAAAAAAGGCCAAGGAUGUAGCUCAGUGCAAAGGUCCUGGCUCAAUUCCCAGCACCAGAAAAAAAAUUUUGAGGCAGUUUCAUAGCUACCUACAAGUUGCCAAGCGCAGAGCCCAGCUCCCGGGCCUGGCUUCCCUGGUCUUACAUCCCCUUCCCUCUGCCAAACAAAAUACUUUGUGCAGUCGCGAGCUCCCGGGGCGCGCUCCCGCGCGGUCCGUCCUAACCCAUCGCCCCAACUCCAGCCUCCUCUUGCUACUCCUGAUCUUUCAAACAGGACGGGAAGCCCGGCGCCGCCCCCGGCGAUGCCGGCGGCGUCCUCGGCCCCGGACCGGCCGAGCGUGGCGGAC
rnacentral:lncRNA from 1 species